rnacentral:rRNA from 1 species
GAUGAACGCUAGCUACAGGCUUAACACAUGCGAGUCGAGGGGCAGCGGGCUUGAAGCUUGCUUUACUUGACGGCGGAAGGCGCACGGGUGAGUAACGCGUACUCCACCUUCCGUACACUCAGCGAUAGCCUAUUGAGAGAAAGAUCAAUAACUGACGGCAUGAUCAGAUUGCAUGAUAUCAUCAUUCAAGAUUUAUCGGUGUACGAUGGGGAUGCGUUCCAUUAGGUAGUAGGCGGGGUAACGGCGCACCUAGCCAACUAUGGAUAGGGGUUCUGAGAGGAAGGGCCCCCACAGUGUGACUGAGACACUGGCCAAACACCUACGGGAGGCAGCAGUGAGGGAUAUUGGUGAAUGGACGAGAGUCUGAACCAGCCAAGUAGCGUGAAGGAAGAAGGUCCUACGGAUUGUAGACUUCUUUUAGAAGGGAAUAAUCCCUCCCACGGGUGGGUGCUUGUAGGUACCGGAUGAAGAAGCAUCGGCUAACUCCGUG